rnacentral:rRNA from 1 species
CAGUCGCCGCGGUAAUACGAAGGGUGCAAGCGUUAAUCGGAAUUACUGGGCGUAAAGCGUGCGUAGGCGGUUUGUUAAGUCUGCUGUGAAAUCCCCGGGCUCAACCUGGGAAUGGCAGUGGAUACUGGCAAGCUAGAGUGUGUCAGAGGAUGGUGGAAUUCCCGGUGUAGCGGUGAAAUGCGUAGAGAUCGGGAGGAACAUCAGUGGCGAAGGCGGCCAUCUGGGACAACACUGACGCUGAGGCACGAAAGCGUGGGGAGCAAACAGGAUUAGAUACCCGAGUAGUCCCUGUCUCUUAUAA